AGCAGAAGGAUUUUUAAACACGACCUUUUAUAGCGGCUGGUGGCGUUAUUGUUACACAGAGAAUGUUGUUUCAAAAGUAUUUGAUAUUUAUUUAACGAAGCAUUUGGAUGUUCCAGUAUUCCACUCUGGUGAUUCUUGCUGCUUGGCCCACUGAGUUGUUUCUGCAGUGCCGAGGAAGACCCACGUGUCCUGAACAUUGGUUAGUUCAUCUCAAUUUUCUGUCCUGGGCCUGCUCCAUUACCCGAGUGAGGCCACCCGCAAAUUGGAAGAACGCACAUCAUAUUCCGCUUGGAUACCUAACAACCCAACGCGAUGAACAUUGAAUUCUGCAAUUUUAGAUUUGCAAUCCAUCCCAGAGAGAGAAGAGGAGACAAGGGUCUCUUCCUGUCUGCCAGCUGUCCCAAUAAAAGUCCCAACCGGCGUUUCAGCAGCGUUGCCCUCUGAGGUCACUAGCAGAACACAUGCAGAUAGGUGAAGUGUCCCGUUGGAUCAUUAGGGGGCGCAUUCUAAGGAAAACCACUGAAUGAAAAUGAAAUAGAUUGAAGGUUGCAUAUCCUGACACUGCCAUCUCUUCAUUUGAUAAACAUACAUUCAAUGUUAGGUAUCUGUGCAAAGAAAUCGAGGGUGGGAAAUAGAGAGAAGGAGUAGAUGAUCAUGCAAAAUGCCAAGAGCAUGUUCAUCGAUUAUAAGCCUGGAAAAUUGUUUCAUGAAGUGAACAUGCAUUGACAUAAAAGAUAAUCAGCAAGGUGGUCGAGGAAAGAAACAAUAUGCACACAUUGGAGGAUGAUAUAAAAACUUGAAAAGGAAAAUGGAAAAAUUCUGAAAGAAAAUGGACAAAAAGCCUUCAAAUUUAAUAAAAGCCCAAAUAUGUCAAACCCACCACUUUGCAAAUAUUGACUGACCAGUAUGUAUUUGAAAUGUUUCAGUCUUCAAGCUUAUUGUUUUAACAAUAAAACAAUUCAGCACAAAAUAAUGAACACCUAACCAGUUGUUUCUAUGUGUUGUUUUAAUUUAUCUCAGUGAUGCAAACUUGUUUUAAUAAAGUUAAAAUAAUCAAUAAUUUAUUCAUAACCAAAUCCUUACAACAAUUAUCUUAGUAUGAAAUCAGAUUGAAAUAUAGCACACAAUUAUCUCAUCAACUGCUCUCAUUGAUUGUACAUAGAUUUCAA